GCCAGUGUGGUGUAAUGGUUUAUGUGCUGAACUGUGACUCUAGAGACCAAGGUUCAAUUCCCAGCUUGGCCA